rnacentral:rRNA from 1 species
GACAGGNGGACNNNCAUGCAAGUCGAGCGGAUGAAGGGAGCUUGCUCCUGGAUUCAGCGGCGGACGGGUGAGUAAUGCCUAGGAAUCUGCCUGGUAGUGGGGGAUAACGUCCGGAAACGGGCGCUAAUACCGCAUACGUCCUGAGGGAGAAAGUGGGGGAUCUUCGGACCUCACGCUAUCAGAUGAGCCUAGGUCGGAUUAGCUAGUUGGUGGGGUAAAGGCCUACCAAGGCGACGAUCCGUAACUGGUCUGAGAGGAUGAUCAGUCACACUGGAACUGAGACACGGUCCAGACUCCUACGGGAGGCAGCAGUGGGGAAUAUUGGACAAUGGGCGAAAGCCUGAUCCAGCCAUGCCGCGUGUGUGAAGAAGGUCUUCGGAUUGUAAAGCACUUUAAGUUGGGAGGAAGGGCAGUAAGUUAAUACCUUGCUGUUUUGACGUUACCAACAGAAUAAGCACCGGCUAACUUCGUGCCAGCAGCCGCGGUAAUACGAAGGGUGCAAGCGUUAAUCGGAAUUACUGGGCGUAAAGCGCGCGUAGGUGGUUCAGCAAGUUGGAUGUGAAAUCCCCGGGCUCAACCUGGGAACUGCAUCCAAAACUACUGAGCUAGAGUACGGUAGAGGGUGGUGGAAUUUCCUGUGUAGCGGUGAAAUGCGUAGAUAUAGGAAGGAACACCAGUGGCGAAGGCGACCACCUGGACUGAUACUGACACUGAGGUGCGAAAGCGUGGGGAGCAAACAGGAUUGGAUACCCUGGUAGUCCACGCCGUAAACGAUGUCGACUAGCCGUUGGGAUCCUUGAGAUCUUAGUNGGCGCAGCUAACGCGAUAAGUCGACCGCCUGGGAGNAGGGNCGCAAGGNNAANACUCNANNGANUUGACGGGGGCCCNNNCANGCNGUGGAGCANGUGGUUUAAUU